UACAGAGGGUGCAAGCGUUGUUCGGAAUUAUUGGGCGUAAAGAGCUCGUAGGCGGUCUGUCGCGUCGGUCGUGAAAACUUGGGGCUUAACCCUGAGCUUGCGGUCGAUACGGGCAUGACUGGAGUUCGGUAGGGGAGACUGGAAUUCCUGGUGUAGCGGUGAAAUGCGCAGAUAUCAGGAGGAACACCGAUGGCGAAGGCAGGUCUCUGGGCCAUAACUGACGCUGAGAAGCGAAAGCAUGGGGAGCGAACAGG
rnacentral:rRNA from 1 species